UGCAAGUCGAGCGGAAACGAGUUAUCUGAACCUUCGGGGAACGAUAACGGCGUCGAGCGGCGGACGGGUGAGUAAUGCCUAGGAAAUUGCCCUGAUGUGGGGGAUAACCAUUGGAAACGAUGGCUAAUACCGCAUGAUGCCUACGGGCCAAAGAGGGGGACCUUCGGGCCUCUCGCGUCAGGAUAUGCCUAGGUGGGAUUAGCUAGUUGGUGAGGUAAGGGCUCACCAAGGCGACGAUCCCUAGCUGGUCUGAGAGGAUGAUCAGCCACACUGGAACUGAGACACGGUCCAGACUCCUACGGGAGGCAGCAGUGGGGAAUAUUGCACAAUGGGCGCAAGCCUGAUGCAGCCAUGCCGCGUGUGUGAAGAAGGCCUUCGGGUUGUAAAGCACUUUCAGUCGUGAGGAAGGUGGUGUAGUUAAUAGCUGCAUUAUUUGACGUUAGCGACAGAAGAAGCACCGGCUAACUCCGUGCCAGCAGCCGCGGUAAUACGGAGGGUGCGAGCGUUAAUCGGAAUUACUGGGCGUAAAGCGCAUGCAGGUGGUUUGUUAAGUCAGAUGUGAAAGCCCGGGGCUCAACCUCGGAAUAGCAUUUGAAACUGGCAGACUAGAGUACUGUAGAGGGGGGUAGAAUUUCAGGUGUAGCGGUGAAAUGCGUAGAGAUCUGAAGGAAUAACGGUGGCGAAGGCGGCCCCCCUGGCUGACUCUGACACUCAUAUGCGAAAAACGUGGGGGAGCAAAAACGAUGAAAAUCCCCCGGGUGACCUACCCCCUACACUAAGUCUACUUGAAAUGAUUGUCGCCCUUUAACCGAGGU
rnacentral:rRNA from 1 species